rnacentral:rRNA from 1 species
AUGGCCGAUGCCCAGCCAGAUUCCGGCGGCCUGGCCGUCAACCCGCCCGGAAAGGUCAAGAAGAAGGCGGCCAAGGCGCCAAGGAAGCCGCGGUCGGAGUGCACGCCAGAGGAGAUCGUCAAGUUGGAUGCGGAAUCGGUGAAGAGGAGGAACCGGAGGGGGGUCGUCAAGGACAAUGCCGCCGAGGCCAAGUUCGCCGCCGAGCGCCAUGCAAUGGAGGUCGCGCGGCGCAAGGCCGAGGUCGAGGAGAAGGAGACCAUCGUCAACAAAGUGCACACCCUCCUCAUGCUUGGCAUUUGUCGUCCGGCGGGUUUCUCUGCAGCGAUCGUCGGCCCGGCGAGCACAGGCUCGUCGGUCGCCCGGCCUCCGCACUGCCAGUCGCCGACGUCGCGGACCACGCCUAUAUCGCCCGGCUUUCCCCCGCCAAGGCACGACGGCCAGACCCGUUUUUCGGGGUCACCGGACGUUGGUGUGAUCGCGUCGUCCACCCCGCGCCCCUCUGCAGUCAUCGACCUUAACGUCACACAUGGGUCCAGCAGCGGCGGCCGGCCGGCCACCGAGAUGCAAAGGAAGCAAGCACGACCGCCAUUUACGGGCACCAUGUCGUUCCCCCGCGUCUUAUUCGACGGAAUGCCAACACCAACGCCACCGGUCGACGACCCCUUCUACAACCAGUUCAUGGAGGAUGUGAUCUACGAUGGUGGGCAUGGCCCUGCCUACGAUCCCGACGAGACCCAAAGUCAGGAUGGCUGCGCCCGGUACGUUGCCGAUGAAGAGGCCGACGACUGUGCUGACUACGACCAUGGUGACUCGUGGCAUGAAGACGAUGACACCUAUUGCGAAGGUGAUGGUGACGAAGAAGAAGGCAAUGGCAUUGAUAUUGGUGGCGAUCCAUUGUUCAUCGACGAGGUCACCCAAAGAGCAGAAGCACAAAAGAGGAGGAAGAGCAUUCACACGGGUUCAUAUACACAAGAGAAGGACAAGUUGAUUUGCCAAUGUUGGAUGGAGAUUAGCCAAGAUCCGAGGACGGGCGCGCAACAAAAGUGCCUGGUUUUUUGGAUGAGAGUCCACAAAACUUUUCAUGAAAGGAAGAUGUUUGAGCCCUACCAAAUUACAAGCAACCGUGGCAUCACCUCGAUUCAAAAGAGGUGGUUGUUCAUCCAACAAGAGUGCAACAAGUAUUGCGCCGCAUUUGAGAGCGUUGAAGCACGACCCAUGAGUGGUCUCGGCGUUGGGGACAUGGAAUUUCAAUCUUUGGAAGCAUUCAAGUCCCGGCACAAUGACAAGCCAUUCACUCUUAUGCAUUGCUGGACGAUCAUUAACAAUUACCCUAAGUUCAAGAAUCAAUACCGUGAACUUCAAAGGAAGAGAGGCAAGAAGACGGCCAAGUUCGCCGGAGGUGGAGAUGGCGAGGUGUUGAAGAGGCCGAGGGGCAAGACCAACUCCAAGGUGGACAACAUACGUGAUGCCUCAUCCAUGGCCUUGCAUGAGACUUUGCAUGGCAUGAUGUCUCAAAAGGAUGUGAGGGACGAGAAGAAUCGGCAAAGCAAGGACGAGCAAAUGAAGCAAUACCUAGAGCUUCAAAGGAAGAAGCUUGAGAUGGAGGAGGCGGCUAAGAAGAGGAAGAUCGACAUGGAGGAGGCGUCCCGACAAAGGCAGCUCGACAUCGAGGCCGCCAAUGUCAAGGCCAGGCAGAGGCAGCUCGACAUCGAGGCCACCAAUGCCGCAACCAAAGCAAAGGAGGUGGCCCUUGCGAUCAUGAGCGUGGACUUGACCAAGAUGAGCGAGAAGACGAGGAGCUGGUUCGAGGCCAGGCAGAAGGAUAUGUUCGACGUCGAUGACUUGAACUAG